ensembl:snoRNA U3 Small nucleolar RNA U3
AAGACUAUACUUUCAGGGAAUAUUUCUUUAGUUUUUGGCUUGGAAACGUGAAAAGAAAGUUAUUUUCCACUUCUCACGAUGAUGAUUUGUGAUGCUUUUCUUUAAACCCCUGAGUCAGACAUUGGAGGGGUCUAUUGAACCUUUUUCAGUAUGUUGCUGAUGAUUGUUCUUUUGUUAUUCUCUUUUAGAGACGCAAGAGAGAAGAAAGCAUGUUCAGAGUGGC